CUGGAUCCCGUUAUCCUGGAUCCCGUUAUCCUGGAUCCCGUUAUCCCUGGAUUUUUUUUCCCUGCAUCCCGUUAUCCUGGAUCCCAUUUUCCCUGAUUCCCAUUUUCCCUGGAUCCCGUUAUCCUGAAUCCCGUUAUCCUGAAUCCCGUUAUCCUGGAUCCCGUUAUCCUGGAUCCCAUUUUCCCUGGAUCCCAUUUUCCCUGGAUCCUGUUUUCCCAGAAUCCCAUUUUCCCUGAAUCCCAUUAUCCCGAAUUUUUUUUCCCUGGCUCCCAUUUUCCCUGGAUCCCAUUAUCCCAGAAUCCCAUUAUCCUGGAUCCCGUUAUCCCUGGAUCCCAUUUUCCCUGGAUCCCAUUUUCCCCGGAUCCCGUUAUCCUGGAUCCCGUUUUCCCAGAAUCCCAUUUUCCCCGGAUCCAUUUUCCCU
rnacentral:lncRNA from 1 species